rnacentral:lncRNA from 1 species
AGGCAACCCGCAACCCAGAUGGAAAAGAGAGCACACAAGCUUGUGUGGGUGUAUCCGUGUAUGGAUUUUCAUUUUCAGGCCCCAGAAAGGCUUGCAGGUUUGCAGCUAGCUACCCAGCCGUUUCUUUCAUCCACAUACUACAUACUUUUUUACAUUUCCAGCACAACUUUGUAUACAAGGUGCAAGUAAAACCAUUGGCAUGUGCCCUUUGAUGAUGCUUUCAGAGAGUUUUUAUUCCUUUUAGCCGAGCUGAAAAUCCGUGGCUCAACCAGAGUCCCUGUUGGAGGAGCGCUCCCUGCCGGGUAAUCCUAUGUACAGCUCCGUCUCCACGUCCAUGUCGUCGUUGCUCGGUGGCGCCGGCAGGUUACGCGGCCAAGGAGGGAGACAGCGGUUCAGGACUGGUGGCGCCUCCGGUGGAGGCUGGAGGUUGCGCUGCUGCAGCGAUAAGAACAGCAGGUGAACUUUUACAAAAAGCAAACAACACAUGACCUGUUUAGGUUAUGUACAUACAUGAUGGCUGUGAGAUUGUCUUUCCUGCGUAUAUUCUGUGUUAAAAACUUAAUUUGCAGUUUGCAAUGUUAAAGAAAAAAAAACUCAACUCCUGAAAGUGGAGUACCCCACAGUUUUUCAGUCCAUCCCUAAACCAUUGGGAUUAGGAGGGAUCAAAGGGGAUUGAGGGGGAUUUUGACUUGCAUUCUCUGCAGUUUGCGAUGUUGUGUUGGUUCAAGGUGGUUCGUUUCAUUUACCUUAUCGCGCAAUUCUUUGUUGUCUUUGAGCAGGUUCCUCUCCUGGAAGUGGUAGAAGUAAGAAACAACAGAGGUCAGGAAUUGGUUACUAGAGUUUCAGGAUACUCUGGGCCCAUGCAUUAUGUUACCUUCUCCUUCAGCUUGGUUAUCUGCUGCUCCAGCAGUUGUGUCUGUCAAAACAAAAGUAGGAUGCAUAUCAACUUGGGCGAACAGUAUCUUUGUUAUCGUCUAUGUAGUAAUUUCAGAGGCUAGGGUUUAUGUGGG